CCUACGGGUGGCAGCAGUGGGGAAUAUUCGGCAAUGAGCGCAAGCUUGACGGAGCAACGCCGCGUGAAGGAAGAAGGCUUUCGGGUUGUAAACUUCUUUUAUGAGGGAAGAGCAGAAGACGGUACCUCUUGAUUAAGCCACGGCUAACUACGUGCCAGCAGCCGCGGUAAUACGUAGGUGGCAAGCGUUGUCCGGAUUUACUGGGUGGAAAGGUCGUGCAGCCGGGAUGGCAAGUCCUUUGUGAAAUCCCGCGGCUCAACCGCGGAACUGCAUUUGAAACUGUUUAACUUGAGUACCGGAGAGGUCAGCGGAAUUCCUUGUGAAGCGGUGAAAUGCGUAGAUAUAAGGAAGAACACCAGUGGCGAAGGCGGAUGACUGGACGGCAACUGACGGUGAGGCGCGAAAGCGUGGGGAGCAAACAGGAUUAGAUACCCUUGUAGUC
rnacentral:rRNA from 1 species